GAACUAAGGAAGCUUCAGAAUAGAGAAGGAUCAUUUAGUAAGAAGCUUGCAAGGACUUGUCAAAACUUUGAUUACAACCCAGCAUCUUGGUGGCGGUUGUAUGGAACUGAAACACCAGCUUUACAGAAGAUGGCUACAAGGUUUUUAUCUUUGACAUCAAGCUCUUCUGGUUGUGAAAGAAAUUGGAGCGGGUUUGAAAUGAUACACACUAAGAAGAGAAAUAGGCUUACUACAACUCGCCUCAACAAAUUGGCAUUUAUUCAAUUCAACACCAAGCUGAUUAAUAAGAAAG